GUAGCACGUACUUUAAAUUGUUCGUUAAAUUGUUCAAUAUUUCAUAUUCGCUCUCGAAAUCGAUUCCAACGAAUCGUAUCUGAUGUUAAAGGAUACAAUUUCGUAAUACGUGGGCCAAGAUUAGGUGAUUUAAGAUAGGUAUCUGCUGGACGAGUAAUUCAUAAUUAAUAAAAUUAUGCAAUGAAAUCAUACGGAACUAUUUGAGGAAGCGAUCUUAACGAUUGGAAUAACGUUACACAGAACACUCAUGGAUACAGAGGAACAAUAUUAUUGGAGAAUACACACUUUCCUAAAUUCAGUUUAAUUUUGUAUCUCAUAUUCUUGUACCAUCUUUCCCUUAAUUACUCCGUGUAUGAAGAUUAUCAGUCGCAAAUAAAGAACAAUGAAUAAUUGUAAAAACGAGCUAAUUUCGAAAUAAAAAGUAAAAAUUUAUCACAAUUUAGGAAGAAAAUCGAGAUCCGUCCUCGCGAAGUUUAAACUAGACUGAUCGUAUCAUCCAGGAAUUUCCGUUCAUACUGUGCAAUUGGUCACAAAAGCACAAGCAGAAAUAUUAGAAGAUAAUAAGGAAAGAGAAAGUUAGAAAGAGCAGUUAAGAGUAUAAAAUAUAUGAAUGGACGGAUAGGUAGAUAGAUAAAUAAGAAAAAGAAAGAGAGAGAGAGAGAGAGAGAGAAACAGAGUGAGAGUGAGAGAGAGAAACAAAAAAGGCGUUUCAUAGUCACGGAAAGGUUUGCAUUGUCCUUUCGUGACAUACCUAAGUGACCACCCUCGAUUUCCGACGCAAAGUGGUCGUACACCGCGAUUAAGAUCUCCUGACUACGCGAAGUAACGCGAGGGCGGGCGCGUGGACAAAGAUACUUAAUAGUCCCUUCUAAUUCAUGCGCGCACGCUUCCAAGGACUUGUAUAUUCAAGUACACGAAACGUUCGUUAUAUGUACGAGGGUUGUAAGAAUUCGCUAGAAACUUAUGAAACGUCUAAUUUAGCCAUGCCUAGCCUUAAACGAAAUGGGGAAUAAUCAAAAGUAUCGUAAUUGCAAAUUCCUUUAAUUUAUAUGUAUGACUUGUGAGCGCAAGGAUACGGUUUCUAGAACAACUUCAGAUGAACGUAGAAUACUAUUGGACAUGAUAAGACCGUAUCUGUUUUGUGAUGAAAUUUCAAGUUUUGAAAUUGAUCUACCUCUGACUCUGAAGUAGUUUCUUACGAAAUUUAAUUUAAAAGAAGCUACUUUGACAUCCGCGAAUCUCCAUUUAACUGCAGCAAAAAUUACUUUAUUGAAUUGAAGUAUAACUUGUCUUCCCAUUAUAUUUCCUCCAGAUUUAAUUUCCUCGGCUUCCUCCACAGGCUCUACCUAUGUAUUCACGAAACUGAAAUAACUUCUUAGUGAUUGACGAUUGCAUGUGGAAAAAAUUUCAAGAAAUAAAUUUCCUUGGUGCAGGACAUGAAAACACUGGAGCAUCAGUACAUAAAGUACAUCGAAGUUGAAAAGUGUCACAUUAGAAAAUAAACAAUUUGUAUGUUUCCAUAAUUAGAUGACAAAAUUUUCAAAUUGGCUUUAUCUUACAUUGUCUUUUUCAAUGAAACCCUUGAAGAGUUGGAAAGGCUAUAUUUGUAUACAUAAUAUAUCGUAAAACAAUGGUUCAUAAUUUCAAUGUUAUAUCCAAAUACUGAAAAUCUAAUACUAUCUAUGUAUACCAUGCAAUCGAUGACAUUGAAAUUACGCUAUUUACAUACGAAUAAGCCUCUCUAAUUUCAAUGAAACAUCCUCAAUGAAAUAACAAUACUAUAAGCAACAAAAUUAUUAAGUCUCUAAUUUAGAUAAUCUGGCUAAUUAUAUCAUUGAAUACAUUAAUUACAUUUCACUCCUAUAUAUUUACCUAUUUGUUUGAUACAGUUAAUAAUAGACGAUGCGCGAAAUUUUGAUAGAACUAUGUAUUCCUUGUCUCAAGUUAAUUUUUGCUAAUUCGCAAUACAAUUAGUGAAAGAAUAUUUGACACGAUUUCUAUAUGAUCUUAUGAUUUCAGGUACAUUUUUAGGGAGUUCGAAAAUUGUCCCAUAUAACAUCAUCAAGUUCACACAUACACGUGAAACUGUGACGGCACGUGUGCCAGGUGGUCGCACCGUAAUUUUCCCUUUAGUUUGUUUCCGGAUUGCGUGUUGAUGAGUACCGUACUUUCCAGAGUGUAUAGGUAUAUCCGAACACCUGUGCGUUACAGAAUACCUGUUUAAUCGUCAGCUCUGCGAUGUAUGCGUAUCAAUUUGUAUGUGUACGCGUGUGUAUACUUGUAGAGUCAAUGCGCAGUGCACAAAUUGUAUGAGCGCCGGCGCCGUGGAUAAUCCAAUAGGAUGAUCUGCCAAUCCUUGGGAAGCAGAACAGACCAAUGGUGAGUUCGAGGGUGGUUCUUCCACAACUUAAUUGUUUUUUUGAUAGCACGUUCUUCUACUACUAUUCAAACUACCAGUCCGAUUAGAAUAACUUGGACGUGGAAAUGUGGCAACCCAAGGUCGAAGAAAGUAGAGCAUCGACGAAAAGUAAAUAAAUGAAGGUGAACGCGAACUUCGAAAAAUGUUAUUAAAGUAGAUUUGUACGAAGAUUUCUGGAACACAGCUCACGGAAAUAGAGAUCUGAGAAUUAACCAAGAUAUAUAAACAUUUCGAUGCAAAGUACAGUAAUUUAUUGGAAUAGCUUUUUUCCAGUACCUACAUGUUAAAUGACUAACUGUUAAAGGAAUUACGUAAAAGAAAAGGCGGCAACCUAGCAGCGAAAAUAUAAAUUUAUCUUUCAGUACAUGUAUCAUUAUGUGUUGAAAAACUGAUUAUUCAUGGUCGUCCUUGAGAUAUUAAGGUAAUAAACUGCGCUUCGAACGUGCAAAAAAUUAUGAUCUCGUAAAACGUAACUUGAAACACGACAUUCAGGAGGACUCAUUUUACGGUUAUUUGGAAUACUUGAUUUUACCACUGCAAAAUUAAGCGCCAGAAACUAGAAUGUUUAUCUGCAGUAGGAGUGUAUAAGACUCGCCGAAUGAGUGACAGCGACAGGUGGAUAGAAGCAUCGACAAUGAAAAUAGAAACAGACAUUCCAUACGGAGCGCCGACUAUGAACCUCUUUUCUAAAAGCAAUACUUCAACUACGACAAAUUCAUGGCUAACUCUGAUGAAUAUAUUAACAUCACUCAUCUAGCUUUGCAAUGGAUGGAUUCCAACAAAAUAUGAUUAUUGCAAACCCUCGACGGAAUGGCUCAAACAUAGAAGCUGACACGGGGGACAGGUGGAUCUAAAUAAAGAUUGGACCAACGCCAGAAUCUCCAAGAUGGCUGAAGCGAGAUGCGAGGCGUGUCAUCGUCGUGGUCGUCGUCAUCGUCGUUGUCGUAGUCGUCGACGGCGCGACGGACCGUUGUGAAAGCUUACGACACUACGAAUUUACUAGCACCGAGAAAAUCCUCUCUGACGUACAACACAUCUUCUGGUCGGUGUUGGAUUUCACUUUUCCACCUACGUUCCGCUAAUUUGAGGACAUGUGCUUCGCAACACGGAUCUACGAUUAUGCGUUCGAUGUAAAUGAUAUUCUUGCCAAUCUUCUUUCAUAUUAAUAAUCGAGAUAUAUAUUGAAUUUGCGUAUUUAAUAUUUGAUGAUAUUUUAUAUUGGCAAAAUUCUCUCAUUCUAAUUCUUUUACUAUAAAUAGAAAGAUAUUUUUGUUUUGCAGUUUUGGAGUAAAUGACGACGGGCAAUAAUUUUAAUAUUAUUCAGAAAUUAUAAAAUAAAAACAUGAAAGUUAUUUUUACAAAGCCACUACGACUUUAUCUACGACGUUUUAACAAAUUAUCAUAUAUGUAUAAGUUAGUUAGGUGAUUUAAAGUACCAAUUUCUCCCCAAUCAGUUUAAAAAAAAGAUAGUUUGCAUCGUUGUCCUAUCAUAAAUAAAAAAUGAAUGUAAAAUUA